rnacentral:rRNA from 1 species
GUCGAGCGGAUGAAGAGAGCUUGCUCUCUGAUUCAGCGGCGGACGGGUGAGUAAUGCCUAGGAAUCUGCCUGAUAGUGGGGGACAACGUUUCGAAAGGAGCGCUAAUACCGCAUACGUCCUACGGGAGAAAGCAGGGGACCUUCGGGCCUUGCGCUAUCAGAUGAGCCUAGGUCGGAUUAGCUAGUUGGUGAGGUAAUGGCUCACCAAGGCGACGAUCCGUAACUGGUCUGAGAGGAUGAUCAGUCACACUGGAACUGAGACACGGUCCAGACUCCUACGGGAGGCAGCAGUGGGGAAUAUUGGACAAUGGGCGAAAGCCUGAUCCAGCCAUGCCGCGUGUGUGAAGAAGGUCUUCGGAUUGUAAAGCACUUUAAGUUGGGAGGAAGGGCAUUAACCUAAUACGUUAGUGUUUUGACGUUACCGACAGAAUAAGCACCGGCUAACUUCGUGCCAGCAGCCGCGGUAAUACGAAGGGUGCAAGCGUUAAUCGGAAUUACUGGGCGUAAAGCGCGCGUAGGUGGUUUGUUAAGUUGAAUGUGAAAGCCCCGGGCUCAACCUGGGAACUGCAUCCAAAACUGGCAAGCUAGAGUAUGGCAGAGGGUGGUGGAAUUUCCUGUGUAGCGGUGAAAUGCGUAGAUAUAGGAAGGAACACCAGUGGCGAAGGCGACCACCUGGGCUAAUACUGACACUGAGGUGCGAAAGCGUGGGGAGCAAACAGGAUUAGAUACUCUGGUAGUCCACGCCGUAAACGAUGUCGACUAGCCGUUGGGAUCCUUGAGAUCUUAGUGGCGCAGCUAACGCAUUAAGUCGACCGCCUGGGGAGUACAGCCGCAAGGUUAAAACUCAAAUGAAUUGACGGGGGCCCGCACAAGCGGUGGAGCAUGUGGUUUUAUUCGAAGCAACGUGAAUAACCUUACCAGGCCUUGACAUGCAGAGAACUUUGCAGAGAUGGAUUGGUGCC